CCUACGUGUGGCAGCAGUGAGGAAUAUUGGUCAAUGGACGGAAGUCUGAACCAGCCAUGCCGCGUGCAGGAAGACGGCUCUAUGAGUUGUAAACUGCUUUUGUACUAGGGUAAACCUGAAUACGUGUAUUCAGCUGAACGUACUGUACGAAUCCGGAUCGGCUAACUCCGUGCCAGCAGCCGCGGUAAUACGGAGGAUCCAAGCGUUAUCCGGAUUUAUUGGGUUUAAAGGGUGCGGAGGGGGAUGUAUCAGUUCGAGGUGAAAAGUCCGAGCCUAACUCGGGGAAUGACUCUAAUACUGUUGAUCUAGAGAGUAGGUGCGGUAGGCGGAAUGUAUGGUGUAGCGGUGAAAUGCUUAGAGAUCAUACAGAACACCGAUUGCGAAGGCAGCUUACCAAUCUAUAUCUGACGUUGAGGCACGAAAGCGUGGGGAGCAAACAGGAUUAGAUACCCCAGUAGUC
rnacentral:rRNA from 1 species